rnacentral:SRP_RNA from 2 species
GCCGGGCAUGGUGGCUCAUGCCUGUAAUCCCAGGAUUUUGGGAGGCCGAGGUGGGCGGAUCACCUGAGGUCAGGAGUUCGAGAGCAGCCUGGCCAACAUAGUGAAACCCCAUCUCUU